CCUGGUGGCUCAGUGGUUAAGAAUCUGCCUGCCAAGCAGGAGCUUCAGGUUCAAUUCCUGGGUCAGGA
rnacentral:tRNA from 1 species